rnacentral:rRNA from 1 species
AGAGUUUGAUCCUGGCUCAGGACGAACGCUGGCGGCGUGCCUAAUACAUGCAAGUCGAACGCACUCUCGUUUAGAUUGAAGGAGCUUGCUCCUGAUUGAUAAACAUUUGAGUGAGUGGCGGACGGGUGAGUAACACGUGGGUAACCUGCCCUAAAGUGGGGGAUAACAUUUGGAAACAGAUGCUAAUACCGCAUAAAACCUAACACCGCAUGGUGUAGGGUUGAAAGAUGGUUUCGGCUAUCACUUUAGGAUGGACCCGCGGUGCAUUAGUUAGUUGGUGAGGUAAAGGCUCACCAAGACCGUGAUGCAUAGCCGACCUGAGAGGGUAAUCGGCCACACUGGGACUGAGACACGGCCCAGACUCCUACGGGAGGCAGCAGUAGGGAAUCUUCCACAAUGGACGAAAGUCUGAUGGAGCAACGCCGCGUGAGUGAAGAAGGUUUUCGGAUCGUAAAACUCUGUUGUUGGAGAAGAAUGUAUCUGAUAGUAACUGAUCAGGUAGUGACGGUAUCCAACCAGAAAGCCACGGCUAACUACGUGCCAGCAGCCGCGGUAAUACGUAGGUGGCAAGCGUUGUCCGGAUUUAUUGGGCGUAAAGCGAGCGCAGGCGGUUUCUUAAGUCUGAUGUGAAAGCCUUCGGCUCAACCGAAGAAGUGCAUCGGAAACUGGGAAACUUGAGUGCAGAAGAGGACAGUGGAACUCCAUGUGUAGCGGUGAAAUGCGUAGAUAUAUGGAAGAACACCAGUGGCGAAGGCGGCUGUCUGGUCUGUAACUGACGCUGAGGCUCGAAAGCAUGGGUAGCAAACAGGAUUAGAUACCCUGGUAGUCCACGCCGUAAACGAUGA